rnacentral:lncRNA from 1 species
AAAAUCAGUGUUAAUUGUGGUUUGUGGGAUUGGAUCAAUAUAUGAUUACAAAGAUGAGUGGUUUUGUUAUAUAUAUUUGAAUUGUAUGAUUGAUUUUUUUUACAGAAUUGGACUAAGCCAGGUUAAGAAAGGAUAUUGAGAGGUAUUGGUUAAGAAUGAAAAUGAAUUGGUUGCGGCCAAUGAAAGCUUGUAGUUGUUAUCCUUAUGAGUAAAAUAGGGUAUAUAUGUAGAUAGGAGUGUGAGUGAGAAUUUAGGGUUGUGAAAAAAGACAGGUAGGCGUUGGUGUUAAUCGAAUGAUAUUAGAGUCUUCUAGAAGCAUCUAGAUGUUGAUAAAGGAACUACUAAUUAAAAAUAUUAUUUUAGACAAUUAUGUUUGAUUUAGAAUUAAAUUAAUUUGUUAAGUUUUUAUUAUUAUUUAAAUGGGAUUUCUGGUCUUUGACAUGUUUAAGAUAUCCAAUUAUUUAUUUUUCUUUUAUAUUAAUUUUUGUUAUCUCUUUUGACAAACGCUUUAUACAUAAACUAUGUUGCGUAUUAUUUUAAUUUAAAUAUACAUGGUUUUUCUAACAAAAGAAAAACUAAACUAAAUUAUUAUAUUUUUAUUUUUAUUCAAACAUAAUAUUUAGCUACAAAAUAUAUUAUUAUAUAUUUUU